GUGUGGAGUCUCUGGAACGCAGCUCUCAUAAUUUGAAGACUGGAGAAUCUGAUGAUCAGUUGAAGAGGUGGAGAAAAAAACCUUUAUUACUGAGUACUCGACCAGAAAGGAGAGCCUCUUUAUAUAGGGAUCUACAGGGUAGGCGGAGUUACAGAACAUUCCUGAAACACGUGCUGUGUGAGCAUGCUCACUGCAGCAGGGGGCGGAGUUAUAGAACAUUCCUGAAGUGGAGGGGCGGAGUUACAGGACAUUCCUGAAAGGUCGCACAGUUCAGUCACAAACCAUUUUGAUACUUUGGGCAGGAGCCCAGCAGCACAAACUUACAUUUCCUAAAGGAAACAUUCUGUGGAAAAGCAGUGGAGGCAAGCCUUACAAAAUUAAAAACCGGUGCCUGCGCAGUGGGAAGAGUCCAUUAUUCGGGAUGCUGCUUCCAUGGCAACAACUGGCAGAAGCCGCCAGGAGCGUGGCCAGCUACGGUCUGCUCGGAGGAGGGCCGCAGGUGCGGUCAGCUGGCUGGCCUGGGUGGGCGGUGGCAGGGAAAUCGAGCACCUGUGCCCGCGCCUCCCACUUCAGUUUCUCACCGGGGCUUGGCUCCUGCUGCCUCUCUUGUCCAUGUCACCUGCUCCCCCUUGAGGCCGUGACCCUCCCUGCCCCAGCACCCUAGUUGCUGCGUAUUUUCCUCCACAUGACAGUCUGGGCCCGUAGAAGUCUGGUCUUUCUCCUCCCUCAGGAGGAGCGACAGAACUGAGGCCCAAGGGGAGGCUGGGCAGGAGUCAGACGUCUGCCUCCGCCAGGCUGGGUGACCCUCAGGGAUGACGUCGCUGCACCGCGACCUCCUUCCUGGCCACCAGGCACAGGCAGCAUUGGGAUCAGCCCCUCAUUGGAGUGACGGCUGUGUGACACAUGUGACCUCACAGGGCCCUGUGAUGUCACAGCAGGAGUGGCCUGCCUGGCUCAGGCUCCCUGGAGCAGCCAAUGGGAGGAGGUGGCCAGUUCGUGGUACAGGAAGUCGUUCCCACUUGGAGAACUCUGAGAGGGACUCGGCCAGGAUGCAGAGACAGGUGGGGCGCUGUGCCAUCUCAUGUCUGGGCCGGGCCGGGCCAUCUGCAGGCCACCCGCGGAGUGUCUGCCUCUCAGGUGCUCUGACCCGGUGUGUCCCAGCAGCUGUGACCAUGAGGUAUGCGCCAAAAGUCAAGAAGCCAAAAGCCACACCUGCUGCAGAAGUUCGCAGAUCUGCGUUUCGAAGCUAGACGUGUGUGAUGCAGAACUUCAAAGGAACCGAGGCCACAAUCCAGACCCACCAUCGCGCACCCUCCUGGCCGGGCUUCGACGCCCGUGUUGGUGCCGUGUCUGUGCCUUGCCGUGUGCGACAUCCCCUUACACACCACCUGUGACUACAACGUCUCCCGGGCCCGCUGCAAGGAGCUGGGGUGCUGCUUCUACCAGAGCAUCUGCUACGAGAAGGUCAUGCCGAAGGGAUCAGCUGUCACGGAGCUGGAAGACACAGAGGACUGAAGUGUGCAAAGAGGAAGUGGAGAACAGGGAAAUGUCCCUGAGACACACAGCUGUGACCCCUGGUGGGGCCAUAUGGAGUGGCCACCCUAUGAGCCAAUAAAAAGGU
ensembl:lncRNA